ACGCUGGCGGCGUGCCUAAUACAUGCAAGUCGAACGAACUCUGGUAUUGAUUGGUGCUUGCAUCAUGAUUUACAUUUGAGUGAGUGGCGAACUGGUGAGUAACACGUGGGAAACCUGCCCAGAAGCGGGGGAUAACACCUGGAAACAGAUGCUAAUACCGCAUAACAACUUGGACCGCAUGGUCCGAGUUUGAAAGAUGGCUUCGGCUAUCACUUUUGGAUGGUCCCGCGGCGUAUUAGCUAGAUGGUGGGGUAACGGCUCACCAUGGCAAUGAUACGUAGCCGACCUGAGAGGGUAAUCGGCCACAUUGGGACUGAGACACGGCCCAAACUCCUACGGGAGGCAGCAGUAGGGAAUCUUCCACAAUGGACGAAAGUCUGAUGGAGCAACGCCGCGUGAGUGAAGAAGGGUUUCGGCUCGUAAAACUCUGUUGUUAAAGAAGAACAUAUCUGAGAGUAACUGUUCAGGUAUUGACGGUAUUUAACCAGAAAGCCACGGCUAACUACGUGCCAGCAGCCGCGGUAAUACGUAGGUGGCAAGCGUUGUCCGGAUUUAUUGGGCGUAAAGCGAGCGCAGGCGGUUUUUUAAGUCUGAUGUGAAAGCCUUCGGCUCAACCGAAGAAGUGCAUCGGAAACUGGGAAACUUGAGUGCAGAAGAGGACAAGUGGAACUCCAUGUGUAGCGGUGAAAUGCGUAGAUAUAUGGAAGAACACCAGUGGCGAAGGCGGCUGUCUGGUCUGUAACUGACGCUGAGGCUCGAAAGUAUGGGUAGCAAACAGGAUUAGAUACCCUGGUAGUCCAUACCGUAAACGAUGAAUGCUAAGUGUUGGAGGGUUUCCGCCCUUCAGUGCUGCAGCUAACGCAUUAAGCAUUCCGCCUGGGGAGUACGGCCGCAAGGCUGAAACUCAAAGGAAUUGACGGGGGCCCGCACAAGCGGUGGAGCAUGUGGUUUAAUUCGAAGCUACGCGAAGAACCUUACCAGGUCUUGACAUACUAUGCAAAUCUAAGAGAUUAGACGUUCCCUUCGGGGACAUGGAUACAGGUGGUGCAUGGUUGUCGUCAGCUCGUGUCGUGAGAUGUUGGGUUAAGUCCCGCAACGAGCGCAACCCUUAUUAUCAGUUGCCAGCAUUAAGUUGGGCACUCUGGUGAGACUGCCGGUGACAAACCGGAGGAAGGUGGGGAUGACGUCAAAUCAUCAUGCCCCUUAUGACCUGGGCUACACACGUGCUACAAUGGAUGGUACAACGAGUUGCGAACUCGCGAGAGUAAGCUAAUCUCUUAAAGCCAUUCUCAGUUCGGAUUGUAGGCUGCAACUCGCCUACAUGAAGUCGGAAUCGCUAGUAAUCGCGGAUCAGCAUGCCGCGGUGAAUACGUUCCCGGGCCUUGUACACACCGCCCGUCACACCAUGAGAGUUUGUAACACCCAAAGUCGGUGGGGUAACCUUUUAGGAACCAGCCGCCUAAGGUGGGACAGAUGAUU
rnacentral:rRNA from 2 species